rnacentral:rRNA from 1 species
AACGAACGCUGGCGGCGUGCCUAAUACAUGCAAGUCGAACGAGAAAGUGGCUUCGGCCAUGAGUAAAGUGGCAGACGGGUGAGUAAUACGUAGGUAAUCUACCUCCAAGAUGGGGAUAACCUUCCGAAAGGAGGGCUAGUACCGAAUGAGACCACAGCUACUACGGUAGCAGAGGUUAAAGGUGGCCUCUUCUUGAAAGCUAUCACUUGGAGAUGAGCUUACGCACCANCAGCUAGUUGGUAAGGUAACGGCUUACCAAGGCUUUGACGGUUAGCUGAUCUGAGAGGUUGAUCAGCCACACUGGAACUGAGACACGGUCCAGACUCCU